AGCUUGCUGGUGUGGAUGAGUGGCGAACGGGUGAGUAAUACGUGAGUAACCUGCCCUUGACUCUGGGAUAAGCCCGGGAAACUGGGUCUAAUACUGGAUGCUACAUGUCACCGCAUGGUGGUGUGUGGAAAGGGUUUACUGGUCUUGGAUGGGCUCACGGCCUAUCAGCUUGUUGGUGAGGUAAUGGCUCACCAAGGCGACGACGGGUAGCCGGCCUGAGAGGGUGACCGGCCACACUGGGACUGAGACACGGCCCAGACUCCUACGGGAGGCAGCAGUGGGGAAUAUUGCACAAUGGGCGAAAGCCUGAUGCAGCGACGCCGCGUGAGGGAUGACGGCCUUCGGGUUGUAAACCUCUUUCAGCAGGGAAGAAGCCACAAGUGACGGUACCUGCAGAAGAAGCGCCGGCUAACUACGUGCCAGCAGCCGCGGUAAUACGUAGGGCGCAAGCGUUGUCCGGAAUUAUUGGGCGUAAAGAGCUCGUAGGCGGUUUGUCGCGUCUGCUGUGAAAGCCCGGGGCUUAACCCCGGGUGUGCAGUGGGUACGGGCAGACUAGAGUGCAGUAGGGGAGACUGGAAUUCCUGGUGUAGCGGUGGAAUGCGCAGAUAUCAGGAGGAACACCGAUGGCGAAGGCAGGUCUCUGGGCUGUUACUGACGCUGAGGAGCGAAAGCAUGGGGAGCGAACAGGAUUAGAUACCCUGGUAGUCCAUGCCGUAAACGUUGGGCACUA
rnacentral:rRNA from 1 species